rfam:Hordeum vulgare subsp. vulgare, WGS project CAJW01000000 data, contig: morex_contig_44041
ACGAUACUCCCUCCGUCCAUAUUACUUGUCUUGGAUUUGUCUAGACAUGGAUGUAUGUAACACCAAUGUAUCUAGACACGUUUUAGUGUUACAUGUAUCAUAUCUAGACAAAUCUAAGACAAGUAAUACGGAUCGGAGGGAGUGUUUA